rnacentral:rRNA from 17 species
GGGUUGUGAGGUUAAGCGACUAAGCGUACACGGUGGAUGCCCUGGCAGUCAGAGGCGAUGAAGGGCGUGCUAAUCUGCGAUAAGCGCCGGUAAGGUGAUAUGAACCGUUAUAACCGGCGAUACCCGAAUGGGGAAACCCAGUGUGACUCGUCACACUAUCAUUAACUGAAUCCAUAGGUUAAUGAGGCGAACCGGGGGAACUGAAACAUCUAAGUACCCCGAGGAAAAGAAAUCAACCGAGAUUCCCCCAGUAGCGGCGAGCGAACGGGGAGGAGCCCAGAGCCUGAAUCAGCAUGUGUGUUAGUGGAAGCGUCUGGAAAGGCGCGCGAUACAGGGUGACAGCCCCGUACACAAAAGCGCAUGUGCUGUGAGCUCGAUGAGUAGGGCGGGACACGUGGUAUCCUGUCUGAAUAUGGGGGGACCAUCCUCCAAGGCUAAAUACUCCUGACUGACCGAUAGUGAACCAGUACCGUGAGGGAAAGGCGAAAAGAACCCCGGCGAGGGGAGUGAAAAAGAACCUGAAACCGUGUACGUACAAGCAGUGGGAGCCCCACCACUAAGCCAGUGGUGAACUCCACAUACGCAUCCUUUGCUGAGGAUACGGUUAACGGAGCGAAAGCGACGUUCAACCGCAAAAGAAGCAGAGGGGGCUUAGUGGUGGGGUGACUGCGUACCUUUUGUAUAAUGGGUCAGCGACUUAUAUUCUGUAGCAAGGUUAACCGAAUAGGGGAGCCGGAGGGAAACCGAGUCUUAAUUGGGCGUUAAGUUGCAGGGUAUAGACCCGAAACCCGGUGAUCUAGCCAUGGGCAGGUUGAAGGUUGGGUAACACUAACUGGAGGACCGAACCGACUAAUGUUGAAAAAUUAGCGGAUGACCUGUGGCUGGGGGUGAAAGGCCAAUCAAACCGGGAGAUAGCUGGUUCUCCCCGAAAGCUAUUUAGGUAGCGCCUCGUGAAUUCAUCUCCGGGGGUAGAGCACUGUUUCGGCUAGGGGGCCAUCCCGGCUUACCAACCCGAUGCAAACUGCGAAUACCGGAGAAUGUUAUCACGGGAGACACACGGCGGGUGCUAACGUCCGUCGUGAAGAGGGAAACAACCCAGACCGCCAGCUAAGGUCCCAAAGUCAUGGUUAAGUGGGAAACGAUGUGGGAAGGCCCAGACAGCCAGGAUGUUGGCUUAGAAGCAGCCAUCAUUUAAAGAAAGCGUAAUAGCUCACUGGUCGAGUCGGCCUGCGCGGAAGAUGUAACGGGGCUAAACCAUGCACCGAAGCUGCGGCAGCGACACUGUGUGUUGUUGGGUAGGGGAGCGUUCUGUAAGCCUGUGAAGGUGUGUCGUGAGGCAUGCUGGAGGUAUCAGAAGUGCGAAUGCUGACAUAAGUAACGAUAAAGCGGGUGAAAAGCCCGCUCGCCGGAAGACCAAGGGUUCCUGUCCAACGUUAAUCGGGGCAGGGUGAGUCGACCCCUAAGGCGAGGCCGAAAGGCGUAGUCGAUGGGAAACGGGUUAAUAUUCCCGUACUUGGUGUUACUGCGAAGGGGGGACGGAGAAGGCUAUGUUGGCCGGGCGACGGUUGUCCCGGUUUAAGCGUGUAGGUGUGUGUUCCAGGUAAAUCCGGUUCACUUUAACACUGAGGCGUGACGACGAGGCACUACGGUGCUGAAGCAACAAAUGCCCUGCUUCCAGGAAAAGCCUCUAAGCAUCAGGUAACACGAAAUCGUACCCCAAACCGACACAGGUGGUCAGGUAGAGAAUACCAAGGCGCUUGAGAGAACUCGGGUGAAGGAACUAGGCAAAAUGGUGCCGUAACUUCGGGAGAAGGCACGCUGACACGUAGGUGAAGUGAUUUACUCAUGGAGCUGAAGUCAGUCGAAGAUACCAGCUGGCUGCAACUGUUUAUUAAAAACACAGCACUGUGCAAACACGAAAGUGGACGUAUACGGUGUGACGCCUGCCCGGUGCCGGAAGGUUAAUUGAUGGGGUCAGCGCAAGCGAAGCUCCUGAUCGAAGCCCCGGUAAACGGCGGCCGUAACUAUAACGGUCCUAAGGUAGCGAAAUUCCUUGUCGGGUAAGUUCCGACCUGCACGAAUGGCGUAAUGAUGGCCAGGCUGUCUCCACCCGAGACUCAGUGAAAUUGAACUCGCUGUGAAGAUGCAGUGUACCCGCGGCAAGACGGAAAGACCCCGUGAACCUUUACUAUAGCUUGACACUGAACAUUGAGCCUUGAUGUGUAGGAUAGGUGGGAGGCUUUGAAGUGUGGACGCCAGUCUGCAUGGAGCCGACCUUGAAAUACCACCCUUUAAUGUUUGAUGUUCUAACGUGGACCCGUGAUCCGGGUUGCGGACAGUGUCUGGUGGGUAGUUUGACUGGGGCGGUCUCCUCCUAAAGAGUAACGGAGGAGCACGAAGGUUGGCUAAUCCUGGUCGGACAUCAGGAGGUUAGUGCAAUGGCAUAAGCCAGCUUGACUGCGAGCGUGACGGCGCGAGCAGGUGCGAAAGCAGGUCAUAGUGAUCCGGUGGUUCUGAAUGGAAGGGCCAUCGCUCAACGGAUAAAAGGUACUCCGGGGAUAACAGGCUGAUACCGCCCAAGAGUUCAUAUCGACGGCGGUGUUUGGCACCUCGAUGUCGGCUCAUCACAUCCUGGGGCUGAAGUAGGUCCCAAGGGUAUGGCUGUUCGCCAUUUAAAGUGGUACGCGAGCUGGGUUUAGAACGUCGUGAGACAGUUCGGUCCCUAUCUGCCGUGGGCGCUGGAGAACUGAGGGGGGCUGCUCCUAGUACGAGAGGACCGGAGUGGACGCAUCACUGGUGUUCGGGUUGUCAUGCCAAUGGCACUGCCCGGUAGCUAAAUGCGGAAGAGAUAAGUGCUGAAAGCAUCUAAGCACGAAACUUGCCCCGAGAUGAGUUCUCCCUGAGACUUAGAGUCUCCUGAAGGAACGUUGAAGACGACGACGUUGAUAGGCCGGGUGUGUAAGCGCAGCGAUGCGUUGAGCUAACCGGUACUAAUGAACCGUGAGGCUUAACCUUACAACGCCGAAG